GUGCCAGCAGCCGCGGUAAUACGGGGGGAGCAAGCGUUGUCCGGAAUCACUGGGCGUAAAGGGCGUGUAGGCGGGCUGGUAAGUCCAGGGUUGAAGGCCCCGGCUCAACCGGGGAGAGGCCCUGGAGACUGCAUGACUUGAGUGAGCGAGGGGAGGGCGGAAUUCCUGGUGUAGCGGUGAAAUGCGUAGAUAUCAGGAGGAAGGCCUGUGGCGAAGGCGGCCCUCUGGCGCUCAACUGACGCUGAGGCGCGAAAGCGUGGGUAGCAAACAGGAUUAGAUACCCUGGUAGUCCACGCCCUAAACGGUGGGCACUAGGUGUGGGGCUCGAGAGGGUUCCGUGCCGAAGGGAAACCAAUAAGUGCCCCGCCUGGGGAGUACGGCCGCAAGGUUGAAACUUAAAGGAAUUGACGGGG
rnacentral:rRNA from 1 species